rnacentral:lncRNA from 1 species
GCAAAGCACAGGGGAUGAAACACUUCAAAACAAGCUUGGACCAGGGUCAUGCCUGGCCAUGAGCCAGAGAGGGGCCAAGAGCACUGUGAGCAGAAAAGGUGUUUAUAAACACCUCUCCAAGCCUCCAGCACAGCAAGACAAGCUGUGGAAAUGCCUUUGGCUCCUUCCUGCUCAUCUCUGGCUGGGCUCCACAAGAGCUUCCAGAGCAUGUUUUUGUCCAUUUAUCUUAGAAUUGGGAGGGAGGGGAGUUGGAAGAGUUUAAAUUAAGUUCCAAUGCCUCUGCUCUCCUCCAGGUAGGUAUUAGUCUAUUCCUGGGUUUAUGCAGCAACCUUGAAAUUACUGCUUUAGGUAUCAGCUGUGCCUGCAGGGCUGCAUUCACUCACACACACACACACAUUUGCCCCCAGGAGCCAAAAGGCAGCUCCUGAGCUUCUGCAAUGAGCUUAACACUGCUAGAACAAGUCUUGAAUACACCCAUUAGCCUUGUGGCUGCUGCUUACCACCACAGGAAAAGAGGAUUCAAAACCAGAGGCACUAAAAUCACUAGUUGGGUGCAGGGUCCAGGGAGACAAUUACCUGGAUGCAGCAAGAGGUUCCACCACAGGAACAUCAGCUACUUGCAAUCCAGAAAUGGAUCUGAGCCCUUCUCUGUACUGCACAGCUCGAGUUUGCUCUUCCUUGUGUGAGUUUUGGGAGCGUUUUCCUUUCAGAGUCAUGUAAACCAAACACCACAGAGGAUGAGGAGCUGGGAUUCUGUGUGCUGGUUGUGGCUGGGGUGGAGUUAAUUUUCUUCCCAGUAGCUGCUAUGGGGCUGUGCUUUGGAUUUGUGCUGAAAACAUGGCUGAUAACAUAGAGAUGUUUUUGUUAUUGCUGAGCAUGGCUUACACAGAACCAAGGCCUUUUCUGCUUCUCAAAUCACCCCACCAGUGAGCAGCUGGGGGUGCACAAGGAGCUGGGAGGGGACACAGCCAGGACAGCUGACCCCCACUGACCCAAGGGAUACCCCAGCUCUGCUGUGCUGGGGGUGCCUGCGAUGGCAGGUGGGGAACAGAUUGCUUGCUUUGCUUUGCUGGUGCAUGUAGUUUUGCUUUCCCUAACUGUCUUUAUCUCAGCUGCCAGUUUUUCUCACUUUCCUCCUUCUCAUUCUCUCUCCCACCCCAUCAGAGGGGAGUGAGUGAGUGGAUGAUGGUGCUGAGCUGCCAUUUGGGGUCAAACUACAGCUCUGUGUCAUGCUGGCAGCAGCCAGCUCAUCUGAGAGCUGAGGAUUAGAUACAUCCUGUCCCAGUGGCAACAGUCAGGUCAGCAUCUUCAGUGAAAAACUUCUGGGGAAAAGAAAAAGUCAAAGCAUCAUUUUCUUGAGUGCAAAACUGGUAAACUGUGUUUUGUUCUAAAUCUCAUUUCAGAACUGAUUUGUUCUGUAUCUUCCUUCUCAUCCUCGCAGAUGUUUGGGGUUUCUUUGGCCCCACAUGGAAGUAGUCAGCCCAUUUCACCCCAGCUCUAUGAGCAACCUUGCUCCCUGGGAACAGAUUGUAAAAGAUUGAGUCCAACAUCCUCACAUACUUUUUAAGGAAAGGGAGUUUAAAGUAAUCUGAGAAAGAAUCACAGCCUGCAAAAAGCUGCACUGGGGAGGGGCUGGAGUAUUAACCUCAAAACCAGAAGUUACAAAUAGCCAGAAAUGUCCCCUGGCUGGAGGAGGAGGUGUGGAGAUCCGAGUCACAAUCAUACCUGGGAGUCUCUGGAACCAAAGCUUCUCUCCGCCUUCUCCCACCCUUUUCUCCUCUGGGACCCUGCACCAGCUGGACUGCUCCUGGACACAUUAGGGACCCCACCUGGUGUGAUCCAACAGCUUUAGGGGCUGCAAAUGAGUGGCAGGAUAAAGCAGGCAUUGUGGCACGGGAGGGGGACACACCUCUAUCAGGCAAAGCCAGCCAGUGCUUUCUAAAGCACACUUCCCAAAAACGUGCUUUGAGGGCAUGGAUUCACAACCCCCAGCAUGUCCAUAAGCCCAGAAGGAAAAGCAAGAGCAGAGAGGGUGUCAGCUGCCUUGCUGCAUGGCUGUGCAAGUCCAGAACCAGCAGUCAUGGCUGGAGGAACAACAGGACCAUCUGGGCACAGCUCUGGAGACAGCAGCAAGGCAGCAGGGAAACAAGAGGAAUCAAACAGCAAAAACACAGGAGGUGCUGACAUCUUAAUAAAAGGAUGAACCAGCUGGUCACAGGAGCCAGAGCAGCUGUGCCUGUGAGUCAGCUAUGCCCACCUUCCUGGACAUCCCUGUGGACAGAGCACCUUCCCAGCCAAUGCCAUGGGCAUGGGAAGAGGGAAGGGAAGGAGGAGGCCCACCCAGGUAUCACACCAGUUCAACUGGAGGCAAAAAAGCCACCUGGAUAUUGGGAAACAGUCAGUCACAUACACAGGUGACACAGCCUUUGCUAACUGCUGCACAUAAUGCUGGGCUCCAAUCCUUACUCCACCUUAGGAGACAAGGAGCAGAGACCCCUGGGUUUAUAAAUUAGUCUCACUGAAACCAGCAAGAUUGGAAUUUGGUGGCCAUUUAUUGCUAGCUUUCAACAGAAGAGCAGCCAGCACUUCCUGGAUUAUGUGGGGAGCUGGAGAACCAUGCUUGCCUCUUAGGGUCUCUGAGAACCAAGAGCUGGGGAAGCUCCUAACCUUCUGCAGGUGAUGGCACCUCCAUGGUCAGAAAGAGCAAAUGAGGGGGAAGCCAGCUGAGAAAAGGGCAGUGGGGGACUUGCAGGCCAGUCAAAGGAGAGAAAGCACACUGGAGUUGGAACAAGCCAUCAUGAAAACAAUCCCAAACUUAAUUCACUUGGAUAGGACAUCACAGAGUGCUUAGAAGAAUUAGCCCUUUAUCUUUGCAGACACAAGCAGCAAGAACUUGUUCUGCCAUUGUGCAGUCAUUGAUUCCUUAUUUCUUUCUUUCUUUUUUGUUUGUUUUUUGUUUCUGAAGAGUGAGCAGAAGAGGCGUCGUUACAGCUCACCAUGGAAACUGCCACUGUGGACAAGGAAUGGCUGGUUUGUCCUCGGGAUGUCACCCUCUAGCAGGUGGCCAAAAAGACACAAACCCUGUACCCAGGGCCAGUCUGGAUCCAGCUGUGCCCCACGCUGGAACAGCUGGAAGCCAGGCUCCUUGGCAGGGUUGCCCCUGGGGCAGUGACCCUCCAGUACCCCCAUGGAGGAAUCCUUGCCUCAGUGCUCCCCCAAAACAGAUCAUCAAAGGAAGUGGAGCUGCUUUCUUGGAGAGAAGCGGUUCCAACUGGAGGGCUGCAGUUGGCUGUGGCCAAGCUUUCCCAUUGUUAUUUUACAGUCGCUUGAUGUUCUGAAAGAUAUUUAGAAAAAUGACUUUAACUGUCCUGUGCCAAACUUGGUGAGGGUGAAAAAAAAUGAAAUUUGGCAGGGAUGUUAUUCAUUCAGCAUGUAGCUUGGAUGAUGUCCAGUGACUAACACAGGAGUUUUAACUGAUCUGGGAGACUAAAAACCAUUCACAAAUAAUUUGAUUUAGGGUCACUGUGAUUUCUUUUUAUAAAUAAUUUUCAUUGGGAAGUAUUUUUUUAAUUAGGAUCGACAGAUCCUAAUAGCAACGCUAUUGUGUGCACCGCUCAUCAUUUCCAUCUUCCUAAAUGACUUUCAUAUGUUGUGUGCCGGUUUCUUGUUUGCUGCACACGAUGGGGCUUGUUCACAGGGUAACCAACGCCUCACAGCAGUGGAUGAGCCAC